CUACGGGAGGCAGCAGUGGGGAAUAUUGGACAAUGGGCGAAAGCCUGAUCCAGCCAUGCCGCGUGUGUGAAGAAGGCCUUCGGGUUGUAAAGCACUUUCAGUGGGGAAGAAAGCCUUGGGGCUAAUACCCUCGAGGAAGGACAUCACCCACAGAAGAAGCACCGGCUAACUCCGUGCCAGCAGCCGCGGUAAUACGGAGGGUGCGAGCGUUAAUCGGAAUUACUGGGCGUAAAGCGCGCGUAGGCGGUCUGAUAAGCCGGUUGUGAAAGCCCCGGGCUCAACCUGGGAACGGCAUCCGGAACUGUCAGGCUAGAGUGCAGGAGAGGAAGGUAGAAUUCCCGGUGUAGCGGUGAAAUGCGUAGAGAUCGGGAGGAAUACCAGUGGCGAAGGCGGCCUUCUGGACUGACACUGACGCUGAGGUGCGAAAGCGUGGGUAGCAAACAGGAUUAGAUACCCUGUAGUC
rnacentral:rRNA from 1 species